rnacentral:rRNA from 1 species
UACCAGCACCCCGAGUGGUCGGGACGUUUAUUGGGCCUAAAGCAUCCGUAGCCGGUUCUACAAGUCUUCCGUUAAAUCCACCUGCUUAACAGAUGGGCUGCGGAAGAUACUAUGGAGCUAGGAGGCGGGAGAGGCAAGCGGUACGUCGAUGGGUGAGGGGUAAAAUCCGUUGAUCCAUUGAAGACCACCAGUGGCGAAGGCGGC